UGCCUCUCUGCCUGAGAGCACUGCUUUUCUGUUCCUGCUGCUCUUUGUUUUAUCAUGUGGCCAUCAGUCCAAGAGUACAGCUGUCAACAGGGACAGCUACGUGAGAUGGAAAGAAGAGGCUAUGGAGUCUUUACCACAGGCCUGACAGGGAGCCAGCACUCCAGAUGUGGUUUCCCCAGUGCUGAGUAAAGAGGAAGGAUCACCUACCCUGAUCAGCAGGAUGCAAGAUGCUUCUCUGCACAACUGAUUUCCAGCCUGGAGUUAUUCCUACUCAGACACAGGACCUGGCAUUUCCCCUUGCUAAAUUCCAUGAGAUUCUCCUCAGCCCAGAUUGCCCUGAGUGGCAGCACAGCCCUCCAGAGUGCCAGCCCCUCGUCUCAUAUUUGCACCCUCUGCAAACUCGCUGAGAGUGCACCCUGUUCCAGUGUCCACAUAAUUAAAGGAGAAUAUUGCCACCCAUAAUUACCCUAAAGGUACAUCAGUAGACUUUCCUCUAACUAAACUUUGUGCUGGUGAUCCUACCCUCUGGGGACCAGCCGCUUAAGCAGUUUUAACUCCAUGUCACUGCUCACUUAUCUAACCUGCAGGUUGCUAGCCUGCCUAUGAGGGUAUUAUGGUAUACAGAUACUUCAAAGUAGGUUGGAUUAUUUUUUUCUUAAAUUAAUAAACCUAAACUAUGUGUAAA